CUCGGUGUUUGGAGCGAUAUGGUCCCACCUCUUCCCAUUUCGAACAGAGUCGUGAAACAUAUCAGCGCCGAUGAUACUUGGACCCAAUCCGGUCCUGGGAAAGUAGGCCAAUGCCGGGA
rnacentral:rRNA from 1 species